UACAGAGGUCCCGAGCGUUGUUCGGAUUUAUUGGGCGUAAAGGGCGCGUAGGCGGUCGUGACAAGUCACUUGUGAAAUCUCCGGGCUUAACUCGGAACGGUCAAGUGAUACUGCAGGGCUAGAGUGCAGAAGGGGCAACUGGAAUUCUCGGUGUAGCGGUGAAAUGCGUAGAUAUCGAGAGGAACACCUGCGGCGAAGGCGGGUUGCUGGGCUGACACUGACGCUGACAGCGCGAAAGCUAGGGGAGCGAACGGG
rnacentral:rRNA from 1 species